GCCAUCACAGGCAGGGCCUUAGGGGUUUUUUAAAGUUUUUUUCCACCUUGAUGAAAUGUUUUUAAACUGGCUUUGUAAAAAGCCAGCACCAAGUCUACAGUGCUCUUCAGUGAAGAAUUUGUAAUGCAAAGGGAAUGUGAAUGCAAUGAAUGUCUGUGGAGCCAGGUCCUUGAAGAAGAGCUCUGCAAACUGGGAUUUUCUCCUGGAAGACUUCCUCCUGUGCUGCAGCAGUUUUGGGAAGGGAAGUGAUGUGUCCCAUCUCCUGCUCUGAAAGAGGUGUCUGAGCUCCUGGGUCAUGAGAGAAAAUCUGUGCAAAGCAUCCUCCCCUGUGCUUCAUACCCAAGGAAAAACUGAGACUGCUGAGGGAACUUAAGCACAGAAAGACCUAAUUUGCAGAUCCCAACAGGCAUGUACAUGACAUAGAUGCAAACCUGCACAGUCCUGCUGAGAUGACAACAUUUCUGAGUUGCAGCAACAAAACUCCAGAU